UUAUUGGAUGUAAAUGGGUGUUUGUAGUAAAGGUUAAUCUUGAUGGUUCUAUGGCUCAUGUUAAAGCUCGUCUUGUUACCAAAUGGUAUGCUCAGGCUUAUUCCAUUGAUUAUUUUGACAUUGUAUCUCUAGUAGCAAAACUUGCCUUUGUUUGCCUAUUCAUAUUUAUGAUAGUUACUUAUAAUAGACCUUUACACCUGUUAG
rnacentral:misc_RNA from 1 species